UACGUAGGCAGCGAGCGUUGUUCGGAGUUACUGGGCGUAAAGGGUGUGUAGGCGGUCCUCCAAGUUUGGUGUGAAAUCUCCCGGCUCAACCGGGAGGGUGCGCCGAAAACUGGGGGGCUAGAGUGCGGGAGGGGAGAGUGGAAUUCCUGGUGUAGCGGUGAAAUGCGUAGAUAUCAGGAGGAACACCGGUGGCGAAGGCGGAUCUCUGGGCCAUUGACUGACGCUGAGGAGCGAAAGCGUGGGGAGCGAACAGG
rnacentral:rRNA from 1 species